rnacentral:rRNA from 1 species
ACGGGAGGCAGCAGUGGGGGAUAUUGCACAAUGGAGGAAACUCUGAUGCAGCAACGCCGCGUGAGGGAAGAAGGUUUUCGGAUUGUAAACCUCUGUUUUUAGUGAAGAAACAAAUGACGGUAGCUAAAGAGGAAGCCACGGCUAACUACGUGCCAGCAGCCGCGGUAAUACGUAGGUGGCAAGCGUUGUCCGGAUUUACUGGGUGUAAAGGGUGCGCAGGCGGGACUGCAAGUUGGAUGUGAAAUACCGGGGCUCAACCCCGGAACUGCAUCCAAAACUGUAGUUCUUGAGUGGAGUAGAGGUAAGCGGAAUUCCGAGUGUAGCGGUGAAAUGCGUAGAUAUUCGGAGGAACACCAGUGGCGAAGGCGGCUUACUGGGCUCUAACUGACGCUGAGGCACGAAAGUGCGGGGAGCAAACAGGAUUAGAUACCCUGGUA